GUGUCAGCAGCCCGGUAAUACCGGCAGCCCGAGUGAUGGCCGAUCUUAUUGGGCCUAAAGCGUCCGUAGCUGGCCGCGCAAGUCUGUCGGGAAAUCCACCCGCUCAACGGGUGGGCGUCCGGUGGAAACUGCACGGCUUGGGACAGGAAGGCUCGAGGGGUACGUUCGGGGUAGGAGUGAAAUCCUGUAAUCCUGAACGGACCACCGAUGGCGAAAGCACCUCGAGAGGACUGAUCCGACAGUGAGGGACGAAAGCUGGGGUCUCGAACCGGAUUAGAUACCCGCGUAGUCC
rnacentral:rRNA from 1 species